rnacentral:rRNA from 1 species
GAUGAACGCUAGCUACAGGCUUAACACAUGCAAGUCGAGGGGAAACGACAUCGAAAGCUUGCUUUUGAUGGGCGUCGACCGGCGCACGGGUGAGUAACGCGUAUCCAACCUGCCCAUCACUUGGGAAUAACCUUGCGAAAGUAAGACUAAUACCCAAUGAUAUCCCACGAAGGCAUCGGAAUGGGAUUAAAGAUUUAUCGGUGAUGGAUGGGGAUGCGUCUGAUUAGCUUGUUGGCGGGGUAACGGCCCACCAAGGCAACGAUCAGUAGGGGUUCUGAGAGGAAGGUCCCCCACAUUGGAACUGAGACACGGUCCAAACUCCUACGGGAGGCAGCAGUGAGGAAGAUUGGUCAAUGGGCGAGAGCCUGAACCAGCCAAGUAGCGUGCAGGAAGACGGCCCUAUGGGUUGUAAACUGCUUUUAUAAGGGAAUAAAGUGGGUCACGUGUGACUUUUUGCAUGUACCUUAUGAAUAAGGACCGGCUAAUUCCGUG